UUUGAAAAAAUUACAUUAUCAAUCCAUUGACUUUAAAAAUAAUCCCUUUUAUAAAUGAUUUCAAGGUUUUUAGUUUGACUGAUUAGUCUUGUACUUUUCUUCAGCCGUUUUCCUGUAUAUAAAUGUUUCCCUGUGAACUAAAAUUGUGAUAAAAAAAUAUUCAUUCUAACAAGUAAAAAACAAUUAUUUCAAAGCACAAAACAAGUCAGGAUUUACUGUAAGCUGAUAUUUGUCAUGUGAUCAAUUCAUUUAAUUUUAGGUAAAAAAAAAAUAUAAAUGAUGUCACCCUAGUUAUUAAGGUUUAAGAAACAAAAAUUCAAAAAGCUAUAAUGCAAUUAUCUAUGUGACAAUAGCAUAGAAUAUAUAUUUGUGAUUUGAAAAACAAACCAAAAAAUCUUUUCAAAACAUUUAUUCACAACAUAUCUAUAUAUAUAUAUGCAAUUGUUUUUCCCACCUAAUAAAUAAUUAUUUUAUAUAGACUAGAACAUUUUUUCCCAUUUGUACAGACUUCAUGAUAUUUUUUUUAAACACAGCAAUACAACACCAUACAUUAAAGAAUAUUAAUUAUUAUACUGCUCAUUUAUAGUAUGGCUAUAUAUUCCAAUACAUAAAUAUGAAUUAUUUAUUAAUGUGACCAUUCUAACACUUUACAAAAAAAUUCACACAAUGGCAAGCAAUGAACAUUUGAAAGAACAGAACCAAAUUGAGAGUUCAGAAGGUAUUUGCCAGAUAAUUGCACUCAAGUACGUUACUGGUCACUACAUGAUCUUGUUGUGUAGCAUAUCAACACAAAGUCCUUUAUUGCAAUACCUUGUGUCUCAAUAGUUACUGUCAUAUACGAAAUACUAUAAUGUCUAUGGAUGUUUAAGCAAUACUAUGAUUCUUACACUGUUUAAAAACACCCAUUGUACAAGGCCAACAAAUAGUAAUGCAAGGGAAAUGUUAUGCAUCAUGUAACAGGAUUUGGUCAAAAUUCCUUUUGAUUCUGAAACAAGCAAAUCAAAGUCAAAGACACCAAAAAAUAUAUAUAAAGAUAUGAGCAGUGAAUGCAUUUAUAUUUCAAACGCACCUACUUGACUUACAUGAAAAUAUAAUCAACUUUGCAAUCUUAACAAACAUUUUUUAAGCCUGACAAUUUAUAUAAAGUAUAGAUAGAAAAACUAAAUAGGCUUGGUAUUAAUGAAGAGGUAAGAUAUGCGUCAUAUUUCUGAAACUACAAUAAUAUACAAAUUCUCUUAUAAUUUUUUUUAAGAUUAAAACGAUUCGUAAUGUAACAAAAAUAAUGAUGAAAAUAAUUUAUAAUUUUAGUCUUGGCCAGAAAUAUAAAUUGAAAAAAAAAAGAAAUUUAUUAAAAAACAAAACAAAAUGAAACCCAGCAGUCAAUAUGAAAACAUUCCAAUUCAAGAUUUAUAAAUGUAGAAGACAAUAA